UACGUAGGGUGCAAGCGUUGUCCGGAAUUAUUGGGCGUAAAGAGCUCGUAGGCGGUUUGUUGCGUCGGCUGUGAAAUCCCGAGGCUCAACCUCGGGUCUGCAGUCGAUACGAGCAAACUAGAGUGUUGCAGGGGAGACUGGAAUUCCUGGUGUAGCGGUGAAAUGCGCAGAUAUCAGGAGGAACACCGGUGGCGAAGGCGGUGGUCUGGGCCGGCACUGACGCUGAGGAGCGAAAGCCAGGGGAGCAAACGGG
rnacentral:rRNA from 1 species